CUGGCCGGGCUAUGGCCCUUAGUGCAGGCCGCCAUGGCAGGGGUGCUUGGCGGGGAAAAUCUAGUCCGAGGAUUUCAUGCGGCCUAGCUCAGUUCUGUCUCCUGCACCCGUGGUCCUGGCAGCUGUACGCAACCCAGCCCCACUUCGGGCCUCCGUGUCUCACUUGUGAUCAUACUGACACGGCAGGGGGGUUAGGAUGGAACAAACUGAAGGCUCGAUGAGAGAAAGGGAAAGUUAAGGAUGCUUGAGCAGAACAAUGGAUUUCUCUUUCUCUUUCAUGCAAGGGAUCACGGGAAACACAAUUCAGCAACCACCUCAACUCAUUGACUCAGCCAACAUCCGCCAGGAGGAUGCCUUUGAUAACAACAGUGACAUCAUUGAAGAUGGUGGCCCGACACCCUUUGAAGCUACUUUGCAACAAGAUUUUCAAUAUCCACCUACAACAGACCUUCCUCCACUCACAAAUGGCUACCCACCAUCAAUCAGCUUGUAUGAAACUCAAACCAAAUACCCGCCAUAUAAUCAGUAUCCCAAUGGGUUAGCCAACAGUUUUGGUGCAGUUAGAAACUUUAGCCCUACUGACUAUUACCAUUCAGAAAUUCCAAACACAAGACCACAUGAAAUUCUGGAAAAACCUUCUCCUCCACAGCUACCUCCUCCUCCUUCGGUACCACAAACUGUGAUUCCAAAGACAGGCUCACCUGAGAUUAAACUAAAAAUAACCAAAAGUAUCCAGAAUGGCAGGGAAUUGUUUGAGUCUUCCCUUUGUGGAGACCUUUUAAAUGAAGUACAGGCAAGUGAGCACACAAAGUCAAAGCAUGAAAGCAGAAAGGAAAAGAGGGGGGGGAAAAGCAACAAACACGAGUCAUCUAGAUCCAAAGAGCGCAAGUCACACAAGAUCCCCAAGUGAGAGCCAGAGGGACAGAACAGACCAAAUGAGAGGGUGGACACUGCAGCAAAAGCCAAGAGAAGAGCCAGUGCUCAAAGAGGCCAUCCCGGUUCAGCCAAUACUGUCUUCUGUUCCAACAACAGAAACGUCCACUGGUGUUAAGUUCCAGGUUGGUGAUCUUGUUUGGUCCAAGGUGGGAACCUAUCCUUGGUGGCCUUGUAUGGUUUCAAGUGAUCCCCAGCUUGAGGUCCAUACCAAAAUUAACACAAGAGGUGCCCGGGAAUAUCAUGUCCAGUUUUUUAGCAACCAGCCAGAGAGGGCAUGGGUUCAUGAGAAACAGUACGCGAGUAUAAAGGUCACGAACAGUAUGAAGAGUUACUAGCUGAGGCAGCUAAACAAGCCAGCAAUCAUUCCGAAAAGCAGAAGAUUCAGAAACCCGGACCGCAGAGAGAACGUGCCUAGUAGGAUAUUGGCAUUGCUCAUGCAGAGAAAGCAUUGAAAAUGACCCGGGAGGAAAGAGUGGAACAGUACACUUUCAUCUAUAUUGAUAAGCAGCCAGAAGAGGCUUCAUCCCAAGCACAGAAUGUUACCUCUAAGAUGGAAGGCAAGGAACCGCGAAGACCAAGGUCUAUGCUGAAUAGUCAGCCAGAGCAGACCAGUGCUGGGGAGGUGGCCUCCUCACAGUCAAGUACUGACCUUCGAAGACAGAGCCAGAGGCGGCACACUAGUUUGGAAGAGGAAGAGCCACCUCCUGUUAAAAAUAGCCUGGAAAACAGCAGCUGCAAGGAAGUCCUUACCAGCUUCCAUCACACUGCACAAAGGGAGCCUAGAUUUGCAGAAGUGUAAUAUGUCUCCAGCUGUGAAAAUUGAACAAGUGUUUGCUCUCCAGGAUGCAACAGGAGAUGGGAAGUUUAUUGAUCAGUUUGUUUAUUCAACGAAGGGAAUUGGUAACAAAAGAGAAAUAAGUGUCAGGGGGCAAGACAGGCUCUUAUAAUCUCUUCACCAAGUCAGAGAAAUGAGAAGCCGACUCAGAGUGCGUCAUCUCCGGAGACAUCUGGUUCUGCAGGCCCAGUAGAAAAGAAGCAGCAGAGAAGAUCAAUCAGGACUCGAUCUGAGUCAGAGAAAUCCACCGAGGUUGUGCCAAAGAAGAUCAAAAAGGAGCAGGUUGGCUUUCCUACAUGUAGAGAGUUAA